GGCGGUGCGCCUUAUGCAUGCAAGUCGAGCGAAGCUUUUCAGUAGUUUACUACAGAAAAUGACUGAGCGGCGAACGGGUGAGUAACGCGUGAGCAAUCUACCUUAGUUACAGGGAUAGCCCGAGGAAACUCGGAUUAAUACCUGAUAUUCUUUUUAUCUCGCAUGAGAUCUUAAGGAAAGGUCAGCCGAACUAAGAUGAGCUCGCGUUCUAUCAGCUAGUUGGUGAGGUAAUAGCUCACCAAGGCAACGACGGAUAGCUGGUCUGAGAGGACGAUCAGCCACACUGGGACUGAGACACGGCCCAGACUCCUACGGGGGGCUGCAGCAGGGAAUAUUGCGCAAUGAGCGAAAGCUUGACGCAGCGACACCGCGUGUGGGAUGACGGAUCUAGGUUUGUAAACCACUUUCAGGAGGGAAGAAAAUGACGGUACCUCCACAAGAAGCCCCGGCCAACUACGUGCCAGCAGCCGCGGUAAUACGUAGGGGGCGAGCGUUGUCCGGAUUUAUUGGGCGUAAAGAGCUCGUAGGCGGUUCAACAAGUCGGUCGUGAAAGUUCAGGGCUCAACCCUGAAAUGUCGAUCGAUACUGUUGUGACUAGGAUACGGUAGAGGUGAGUGGAAUUCCGAGUGUAGCGGUGAAAUGCGUAGAUAUUCGGAGGAACACCAAUUGCGAAGGCAGCUCACUGGGCCGCUAUCGACGCUGAGGAGCGAAAGCUAGGGGAGCAAACAGGAUUAGAUACCCUGGUAGUCCUAGCUGUAAACGAUGGAUACUAGACGUAGGAACUGGAUUGACGGUUUCUGUGUCGUAGCUAACGCGUUAAGUAUCCCGCCUGGGGAGUACGGUCGCAGACUAAAACUCAAAGGAAUUGACGGGACCCCGCA
rnacentral:rRNA from 1 species